rnacentral:rRNA from 1 species
GAUGAACGCUAGCGGCAGGCUUAACACAUGCAAGUCGAGGGGUAUAGGUUUUCGGACCUAGAGACCGGCGCACGGGUGCGUAACGCGUAUGCAAUCUACUUUUCACAGAGGGAUAGCCCAGAGAAAUUUGGAUUAAUCCCUCAUAUUAUAGCAGUUUCGCAGGAAACAACAAUUAAAUUUCCAACGGUGAAAGAUGAGCAUGCGUCCCAUUAGCUAGAUGGUAAGGUAACGGCUUACCAUGGCUACGAUGGGUAGGGGUCCUGAGAGGGAGAUCCCCCACACUGGUACUGAGACACGGACCAGACUCCUACGGGAGGCAGCAGUGAGGAAUAUUGGUCAAUGGACGCAAGUCUGAACCAGCCAUGCCGCGUGCAGGAUGACGGUCCUAUGAAUUGUAAACUGCUUUUGUACGAGAAGAAACAACAUUACGUGUCAUGUCUUGACGGUAUCGUAAGAAUAAGGAUCGGCUAACUCCGUGCCAGCCGCCGCUGUAAGAC